rnacentral:tRNA from 2 species
GGGCUGGUAGUUUAGUCCGGUAGAAUACGCGCUUCGCAAGUGCGGGGUCGUGGGUUCAAAUCCCACCCAGUCCA